GCCAGCCAGCUCGUCACCUCCAGAGACAGUCCUCAUCCCUCGGGAAAGGCAGGCUGUCCUUCUGCUCUGGCACGCUGCUUGCAGGCUCGGUUGCUGGCAUUCCUUAAGCCACAUAAAGUUCAAGACCCGUUGUUCCCGGACCCCUGCAUCAGCAGAGCACAGGCUGUUACAAAUGCAGAUGUUUUCCUCUGCAUGUCCUGGAAGGCACAGUUCAACAGUUUCCUUUCAUUGAAAUUGAUUAACAACUAAAUCAACCAGGUUUUCAGGGUCCAGCGACCUACCUGGACCAUUCCACAAUGGCCAGGGGAGAUCCCUGCCCAAGAGCUAAAACUCUCUUGAUGGGGAGGGAUUUGACCCAGGGUCUUAAGGGCAGCCACAGACGCGGAGAAUGAAGAUCCCAGGACUUAGAAGGUUUCCUGAAAAGCAGGAUAUGGCACCGCAGAGAAGCACCACUGAGGCUGUCGUCUGGCCCCACAACCUCCUGUAGCCAAAUAUCCUGGUGCUGCGGGACCCCCAGCAGAGCAGUACUCAGCACCGCGUUGUGAGCGCAAAGUGGGCCACUUCAGGGAUGUGCUGAUUUUUCUAGUGGAAGAAAGCUGAAGUCGUCUUAGCCCAACCUGGACAUGGGUGACGGUUUGCACACUCACCUGCACCCUGGGAUAAAGUGGGAUAGCUCCCGUGGCUCCCUUCUGAGGUCUCCCCUUCCUGUUCCAUGAGCACAUGGUGGAACAGCGUGCUGGCACUGGCAGGCUGACAGGACAAGGAAGGGACCAGGACCUGGCCGGUCAGGACAAUGCUGGGGAAGCCCCAGGCACCCACGCAGAUGCCUCAACCCUGGUCUGAGUUGGUGCAAUUUGUCAGCAUCACUAGGGGAUGGAGGGCAGGGAGACGAGGGUCGGUAUGUCACACUUAAAGCUCACCUGGAGUUAGGGAGUUGGUGUUUGCAAUGGCUUCUAACAGACAACUGUUCCCCUUUAAAUUAGCGAGUCUCAUUUAAAGGUUGCCCAGCACUUUCCACAUGUAGUUCCAAUCUGAGUGCAUGGAAUACAAAGUUCUCACUUGAAUUUCAUUUCCCGGUUCUUUCUGCACAGAUGCCUCUUCGGGUGCCCCUCUUAUGCAAGUAAAUAUGACAUCUGGUGAAGGAAACCUGCAAAGGACAGAGGCUGGGUAUUAAGGACUUGAUUUGCAUGAAUGCAGCCAUCAUUCUUUGUUCUUAUCUAGUAUGUUGAUAGGAUAUACCUCUCAAAAAUUUUGUUUUGACAGAAACAUCUUAGUGCAUGUGAGGAAGCAUUGCAUAACUUUGCAAAGUGGAAUCCUAUUACUGCCAGGUGACCAUUUCCCAGAUCACAGCCUGAAUUAGCUGGCUGGUACAUCCUGUACAUUGGGGCAUGUUUACAAAUUAAAGCUGGAUUCAGAGAGGUGUGACCACUCUGUAUCUAGAAAAUUAAUCCUGGCUCCUGGAAGCCUCACAAACAGAAAAUGACACACAAGGGUUAAUGCAAUUUCCAUCCCAGCGAGUUUUGCUUGCCAUUAUUUUCUUUUUCUCUUCUCCCUUUUAACUGAUUCGCAGCAUAAAAUCUUCCUGGACACCUAAUUAUCAAGCCAGCUCACAGUCACAGCUGUCUGCUUGGAGAACCCAUUAGAUGCAGCAGUUGAAGCCUCCAUAAUUCCCCAAACUUCCCGGUUGUGAAUAUUAAGAAAAGAUUUUUACAUGUCAUAUGCAAUUCGAAGGUGGUGUGAAUGGCCUCGGAGAUGACGAGGCCUGAAUGCUUGUCCAUCAUGCCAUUCACUGGUUACAGGUGGUCUCAUUUUCCACUCUCAGAUAUCGGCUGGCUAUGACAGCAGGCACUUAAUUUGCAUGUUCGACAGACAACAAACGGCCCCGUGCAUGUCAAAAUAGGUGGUGAUGCGUGACAGUUUCUACACAAUGCUGUCUCCUCUUUGCAUGACCUUUGACCUCUCUGCAUGUCUUUUUUCCACCAUCAGAAAAAAAANUAU